AGAGCGAACGCUGGCGGCAUGCUUAACACAUGCAAGUCGCACGGGCACUUCGGUGUCAGUGGCGGACGGGUGAGUAACGCGUAGGUAUCUAUCCUUGGGUGGGGGACAACGGCUGGAAACGGCUGCUAAUACCGCAUGAUAACUGAGGUUUAAAGGCGCAAGUCGCCUGAGGAGGAGCCUGCGUACGAUUAGCUAGUUGGUGGGGUAAAGGCCUACCAAGGCGACGAUCGUUAGCUGGUCUGAGAGGAUGAUCAGCCACAUUGGGACUGAGACACGGCCCAAACUCCUACGGGAGGCAGCAGUGGGGAAUAUUGGACAAUGGGCGAAAGCCUGAUCCAGCAAUGCCGCGUGUGUGAAGAAGGUCUUCGGAUUGUAAAGCACUUUCGACAGGGACGAUGAUGACGGUACCUGUAGAGAAGCCCGGCUAACUUCGCGCAGCAGCCGC
rnacentral:rRNA from 1 species